rnacentral:rRNA from 1 species
UACGGGGGGGAGCAAGCGUUGUCCGGAAUUAUUGGGCGUAAAGAGCUUGUAGGCGGUUUGUCGCGUCUGCUGUGAAAUUUCGGGGCUCAACCCCGAACUUGCAGUGGGUACGGGCAGACUAGAGUGUGGUAGGGGGAGACUGGAAUUCCUGGUGUAGCGGUGAAAUGCGCAGAUAUCAGGAGGAACACCGAUGGCGAAGGCAGGUCUCUGGGCCAUAACUGACGCUGAGAAGCGAAAGCAUGGGGAGCGAACAGG